GAUGAACGCUGGCGGCGUGCCUAAUACAUGCAAGUCGAGCGAACAGAUAAGGAGCUUGCUCCUUUGACGUUAGCGGCGGACGGGUGAGUAACACGUGGGUAACCUACCUGUAAGACUGGGAUAACUUCGGGAAACCGGAGCUAAUACCGGAUAAUAUUUCGAACCGCAUGGUUCGAUAGUGAAAGAUGGUUUUGCUAUCACUUAUAGAUGGACCCGCGCCGUAUUAGCUAGUUGGUAAGGUAACGGCUUACCAAGGCGACGAUACGUAGCCGACCUGAGAGGGUGAUCGGCCACACUGGAACUGAGACACGGUCCAGACUCCUACGGGAGGCAGCAGUAGGGAAUCUUCCGCAAUGGGCGAAAGCCUGACGGAGCAACGCCGCGGGAGUGAUGAAGGUCUUCGGAUCGUAAAACUCUGUUAUUAGGGAAGAACAUACGUGUAAGUAACUGUGCACGUCUUGACGGUACCUAAUCAGAAAGCCACGGCUAACUACGUG
rnacentral:rRNA from 1 species